CCGUGGAUCAAGCCACGUGGUCGUCUUGGUGUUGUGACUGUAGAGCAGAACACACCCCAUUAGAAGAGAACUCCCUCAGUCACAGCACAAAAUGCUAAAAAAGGCAACAAGGACGCUCAGAGGAACGAGCACACUGAAGACUCCCCAGGACAGAUGUGAAAUAUCAGAGCUGUGAACUUUGAAAAGCUGACAUGAAAACACUGAACUCUGCUCUUCCCCUGCCAAACAGAAUUAACCUUGUAUUAUGUGUCUGAGCCUACGCUGAAAAAUCAACAUGGCAGAACUCCAAGUUGACUACGCUUUGUUGCCGUUCCUACAUAGAGAACAGUGUUUGUAAUGCCAUCAACCCACCCUCCCCAAUCCUACUAAUAUUCCUCAAAGCACCAGAAUGAAAAGUAGAGAAGACUCAAACUGCCAGUAAAACAUAAACCACCCUCCUGCAAGCUACAAGAAAUAGCUCCCAAAAAUCCCUGCAGAAAACUUCAAAUACAGGCCUCCCCCCUUCAGUCCUCAGGUUCAUGUCACAACAAAGUCUGUGACCUUCACCCAACCACCAGCCCGGCCACCAGCCGCUCUGUGCUAUCGUGUUGCCAGCCCCAAAGCUUGCAGGACUAGGUCAGGUCUGGUCAAUAUGAGCCUAUCUUAAACAUUCACACAGGGAUCAUCUGCAAAUGCAAUGUGAUGGCUUCUCUCCACCCUCGGUUCUUCCCCCUUGAGAUCAGUAACCAUGGCAGCAAAAGGAAAAGGGAUUCCUGCCAAUCUUUGAAACAUCUGAAUGGAUGGACACUUGUCCAGGCUCAAUAUCCUCUGCUUUAUUCCUACCCAAAAACUCCCCUUUAGGCAGUUUCAGGUUGUGCAAUAGUUCCCUUAACCAAAAAUAAUCUGAAAAUUUUACAGUAUGAGCUAGUGUUGCCCCUUAAAGCAACUGUUUAGCUAAAAGAGUAAUCUCCUCAAAAUUAAACAAUAACAUUUACAGCGUAUGGAUUAUACUCUGCAAAGGAUUCUGUUAUUUUAAGAGUGGAUACAUUUUUCCUUCCUCCUCAUGUAACUGGCCAAUGCCCAGCACUACAUGUUCUCUACUGAGCAGUGCAUUUUAUGAUGCAAUUGCACAUCUGGCUGGGAGAACAGCUGUUUCUUUUUAAAAGAUAAUUUCAAAAUCGAGAAAAAAACACCAGUUUGAAUAGAAAACUGCCUUCAAACUUCACCAAAACUAAGGAAGCAGCUCAAGCAAACAUGAAUGUUAUUUGUACUUCUUAUCCAUUCAUACAAUACUUAAGGGAAUUUCACCCCUUGUCAACCAACCUAUCCCUCCACUGCCAUUAACUGCUUCCUUUUCCUCCUCUUCCUCCUCUUCAGGGAGAGAACUGUCCAUCCUUUGCAUUUUGCUGACAGAUGUGGUUCUUUUCCUCUGUGACUCAGUAUCAAAAUCAUUGUCAAAAAGAACUUGAUCCACCGGGUCAGGCUGAAAGGGGCUGGGCUCUGCUGGAGGCUUCGGAGUGCCAUAAAAAUUACCUGUCAAUGAAACAAAAAUAAAGAUUACUAGAACACUGAUACCUGCUGAAAGUA